GCAUUUCUGCACACAACAACACAGAAUCCCUACCUAAUAAAAAUCUCCCAAAAUGGUUCUAGGUGGACACCCAAUGGUUUGGUUCCACGCGUCGAAACCUCACCUCUACGCCCUAGCACAUGAGAUCAUCUCUCCAAGCGUAUUAUUCACAUCUGCAAGAAGCGAGCGAGCUGGCUUGGAUUGACAACGCCAGGUAAGUGGGACCCUCCCGCUUUCAACAAACUUGAUACC
rnacentral:misc_RNA from 1 species